CAAUAGCGUAUAUUAAAGUUGUUGCAGUUAAAAAGCUCGUAGUUGGAUUUCGGGGCAGCCUGGCUGGUCCGCCGCAAGGCGAGUACUGGUCAGCCGCCCUUCCUCUCGAAAGCCCCGACUGCUCUUCGUUGCAGUGGUCGGGUAGUUCGGGACGUUUACUUUGAAAAAAUUAGAGUGUUCAAGGCAGGCCUACGCCUGAAUACAUUAGCAUGGAAUAAUGGAAGAGGACCUCGGUCCUAUUUUGUUGGUUUCCAGGGCCGAAGUAAUGAUUAAGAGGGACAGUUGGGGGCAUUCGUAUUUAAUUGUCAGAGGUGAAAUUCUCGGAUUUAUGAAAGACGAACAACUGCGAAAGCACUUGCCAAGGAUGUUUUCAUUAA
rnacentral:rRNA from 1 species